AUUCAAUGAGGCCAUGGAUCAGAAGCCCUCCUAACAGAGCCUGGCCCACAUGGGUGCCUAGGUGUUGGCUGUCGUUAUUAUGAUGGUCCAACAUCUCCUGGGCUCCCACUGAGGGCUGGGCCCAGUUCUGGGGUCCAGGGACCCAGAGUGAAUGCCCCUCAUCAGGCCUCACCUUUGGGAUCUCAGGUCCAGCUGGGUGCCUGACAGGCUGGGGGACAUCAGCCAUACAGUGUGAUCAAUGACAGUGGAGGUGCAGCGGGCAGCUCCAUGGAGAGAUGUCCAACUCGGGCCACCCCCGUGCUGGCCCUGGCCUCAGGGGGCUCCUCCUGCCAUCCCAGGGGCGGUUCUGAGGGGAGGGACACACAGCCAGAGGAGCAGCGGGGGCCAGCGGCACUCCCUUCCCGGUCCCUGCGGUGAGAGGCUAGCCCUGAUGGGGUAGGCUCCUGGGUGAGGGUGGUCCCCGCUCCAUCUGGCCAGGCUCAGGCUGCAGGGCUCCAUGUGAGAUUUGAAUUCAUGUCGGUGAAGCCUGAGCAGGGCAGGAGACCCACUCUGGGCUGGGGCCUCUCCUGGCAUCAUCCCCUUGCCUCCAGGUCCCCCUGGGGCUUUGGGAAGUGCCUCCUCUGGUCUAUUCCAGCUUCCACCUGCUGCAGCUCCAAUCAGCCUCCUAUUUGGAGCCUAAUUACCGGGGAGGGUCAGGGAGAAGCUGUGGGAAAGGCUUCUGGCCCUGCUCCGAGGGACAGCUCCUCGCUCCUUUCAAAGGCUUCUUCCAGGUGCUCCUGGCGGCCGGAGCUGUUGACGGAGAGGCUAGAAGCUGCCUGGCGGGGAGUGGAGACCAGAGGAGCUUCUGAGCAGAGAAAGGAGCUAUUAUCUGCACAACUGGGAGCCCGGCGCUCGGCUCUCUCAUCCAGAAUGAGACUUGCAGGGGUGCCUCUCUGGUGCUCCCUGGCAGCCAGGGUUGGUGCCUCCUUUGAUGAACUGGGAGCUUGUUCCAAACGGAGGGAGAGAGAGUUGAAAAUUGCCGUGGAGCAGCGUGGAGGGAAAGAUGCGGGUACGCACGUGAAAGUCUCGACGGAUGUGAUAAUUAUUUACGGUUUCUGGCAUUGAGUGUUUUUGUUACCCAGUUAAAUAGACUCUAAAUACCACAUUAAAAUCUUGAAAAGUGCCUGGCAGAUUAAUAAAUCAUAUUAACGGCUCUGGCA
rnacentral:lncRNA from 1 species